rnacentral:rRNA from 1 species
AACGAACGCUGGCGGCACGUUUUAAGCAUGCAAGUCGAAUGGCAGCAGGGGCAACUCUGUGAGAAUGGCGAACGGGUGAGUAACACGUAGGUGAUCUGCCUUGAGGAUGGGGAUAGCCUGUGGAAACACAGGGUAAUACCGAAUGAGCUGACGAGACUUUGGUUUUGUUAGUAAAGGUGCUACGGCACCGCCUUGAGAGGAGCCUGCGGCUGAUUAGCUCGUUGGUGGGGUAAGAGCUUACCAAGGCGACGAUCAGUAGCCGGCCUGAGAGGGUGUACGGCAAAACUGGAACGGAGACACGGUCCAGACUCCAACGGGAGGCAGCAGCUAAGAAUCUUCCGCAAUGGGCGAAAGCCUGACGGAGCGAUGCCGCGUGAUCGAUGAAGGUCGAGAGAUUGUAAAGAUCUUUUCUACAUGAGGAAUAAGUCUGGGAGGGAAUGCCCGGAUGAUGACGUUAGUGUAGGAAUAAGCCCCGGCUAAUUACGUGCCAGCAGCCGCCGUAA